ensembl:lncRNA
GGAGCAUGCAGGCAUGCGCAAGCAAGAGAAAGACAGAGAGCAAGGCUGGAAGAAUGAAGGCUGUGACGCACGAUUAUCUUCCCUCUGCCGACUCAUUGGCUGCUGGGUCCGCCCGUCAGUGAGCUCAGGUUCAGGGCUAUGCCAUCAGGGCAGAUUAUGAAGCAGAUCUUGUCUCUAGUGCUCUCCUCCACUUGUCUCAAUGGCUGAACACAGGCUCUCCACGCUUCUCUUGCUGUGGCUCUUUGUGUGCAUGCAGCGGGCAUGGCCGUUUGAUCAAGUGCCUGAAAUCCUGGACAGGAGGAUUGGCAGUCCCAGGCAAAUUCAGCCCAAGAGCAGACCAUCUGAUGCAGAAAGAAGUCUCCAAGAACCCCAAAAUUUCAUCACAGGAUCUGCUAGUAAGUCUUGCACAAAUUUGCCCUGCAUGUGAGCCAUGCCAGGAAAAAGCCUUUGCAAGACUACAGUUUGCCAAUGAGUAUUUAGGUCUUUUGGAAUAAUGUGCUUUGGACAGACAAAUGAAAGAUAGAGUUGUUUGUCCACAGUAACAGCAGACAAGUUUGGCGCAG